GUGCACCAGAUACAAGCCUGUCAGCCCAGUGAGUCCCAGUUGUACACACUGGACUCACUCUCCAUGGCUGCAUGGCUCCGUAAAGGUGCGAGAGCAACAUGCAGCCCUGAUAUUUAAACUUCAGUGGGAAGAGGCACUGUUGAGUUAUGGCUCAGCGGCACAAAA